rnacentral:rRNA from 1 species
AGUGAACGCUGGCGGUAGGCCUAACACAUGCAAGUCGAACGGCAGCACAGUAAGAGCUUGCUCUUACGGGUGGCGAGUGGCGGACGGGUGAGGAAUACAUCGGAAUCUACUUUUUCGUGGGGGAUAACGUAGGGAAACUUACGCUAAUACCGCAUACGACCUACGGGUGAAAGCAGGGGAUCUUCGGACCUUGCGCGAUUGAAUGAGCCGAUGUCGGAUUAGCUAGUUGGCGGGGUAAAGGCCCACCAAGGCGACGAUCCGUAGCUGGUCUGAGAGGAUGAGGAGCAAAAAUGGAAAAAUAGCGAGGGCCAGACUACAGCGGGAGGCAGCAAUGGGGAGUAGGGGAAAAUGGCCGCAGGACUGAUCAAGCAAUACGGGGAGAAAAAAGAAGGCCUUCGUGUUAUAAAGCCUUUUUGUUGGGAAAGAAAAGAAACAGGUAAAUAACCCGCUGUCCUGACGGGACCCAAAGAAUGAGCACCGGCAAACUUCAUG